rnacentral:rRNA from 1 species
UACGUAGGGUCCGAGCGUUGUCCGGAAUUACUGGGCGUAAAGAGCUCGUAGGUGGUUUGUCGUGUUGUUCGUGAAAACUCACAGCUCAACUGUGGGCGUGCGGGCGAUACGGGCAGACUGGAGUACUGCAGGGGAGACUGGAAUUCCUGGUGUAGCGGUGGAAUGCGCAGAUAUCAGGAGGAACACCGGUGGCGAAGGCGGGUCUCUGGGCAGUAACUGACGCUGAGGAGCGAAAGCGUGGGGAGCGAACAGG